GAUGAACGCUAGCGGCAGGCUUAAUACAUGCAAGUCGAGGGGCAGCAGGGUGGUAGCAAUACCACUGCUGGCGACCGGCAAACGGGUGCGGAACACGUACGCAAUCUACCCAUAACUGAGGAAUAGCCCUCCGAAAGGAGGAUUAAUACUUCGUAACCUUUGAGAGUGGCAUCACUUUCUUAGUAUAGCUCAGUCGGUUAUGGAUGAGCGUGCGGCUGAUUAGGUAGUUGGCGGGGUAACGGCCCACCAAGCCUGCGAUCAGUAACUGGUGUGAGAGCACGACCAGUCACACGGGCACUGAGACACGGGCCCGACUCCUACGGGAGGCAGCAGUAAGGAAUAUUGGUCAAUGGAGGCAACUCUGAACCAGCCAUGCCGCGUGAAGGAUGAAGGUCCUCUGGAUUGUAAACUUCUUUUACAGGGGAAGAAACCACUUUUUUCCAAAAGUGUUGACGGUACCCUGGGAAUAAGCACCGGCUAACUCCGUGCCAGCCGCCGCCGUAAAAC
rnacentral:rRNA from 1 species